rnacentral:siRNA from 1 species
UGUUGGCGCUACUAUUCCUUCC